rnacentral:lncRNA from 1 species
AUGGGGUUUAGUGAUGAGAUGGAAUAUGGUGAUGAAGUCGAUACCUUAAGUAUUGGAGCUGGUUCACCCCUCAGAUAUUGUGAAGAAAGAGAUACUUGGACUCAAGAUGAAUAUGAAAAGAUAUUUGUAGAAACUUCUUAUCCACAAGAAGCGCUGCCAUUAGAAAUAAUACCAGAGGCAGCCGAAGAAACAAGCAAUGAUGCACUGGAGGUGGAGGAGCCAGGAGUAGAGGGAGUGUUACGCAAUGUGAAGCUGGUGAACCCUGUAAGGGGCAUUGUUGCGACAUCGGCUUUAGCAAACGUACCACAUCCUAUCCUCACUGGUGAGCCUGCUCCUCGACCACUUGUUCCGAACAAUAUACCUGAAGAAGGCGGGCUGGUUGUCAAUACCGCUGGGUCUGAGUCAGCUGGAUUUGACGUAGUUGUCGCUGAAUUAGCGAGACUCAGCCAGACAGUUGGUGUUGCGCUGGGAGGCACAGCCCCCCUUAGACGGCGAAAUAGACGGGCGAACCGGAGAGGAAAUCAGAGCAGAAGUUUUACUGCGGUCGCGAGUACUGUUUCUCCGGAGACAGAGCCGCGACGUGAAGCAGUGCGGGUCUGCAGACCCAUGGAAGAAAAGAGAAAGCAAUUCAUAGGCGUACUACAGCGAGAGGGACGCGAACAUAGAAUAAAACUCGGUUUCGGGCGGUUGUCUGAGCCACAGAGUUGGAAAGAAAUCCACUAUGUCAGAUUGGGUGCAGAACACACGGUGCCUUGGAUGAAUGCGAGGUGGGAGGGAAUACGUGUGAGAUCAAUGUUGGGAUGUUCUACUGAGGUUUAUCGUUUUGAUAAAGGUUGGGCAGGGAGAGAGGAACUAGAAUUCACUGACAUAAGACCAGCCAUGGUGCGAGUGUUUCAACAUGAUGACAGCGGUGCCUUUUGGGCUGCUGUGAGAGCUGAUAUGUCCCCCCCUCAGCUUAGCCGAAGUGGAGAGUUCAUUGGGAGAUAUAUUGUGGGGUGCCCCUGGGGAAACCCUUACUGUGUGUAUGGAAUCUUUUCUGGUGCGGGUUGGAGAUGUUAUAACAAAAAUAAACAUGUACCCGUUACUGCUGAUGAAGUUAAGCUGUCAGGGUGGGAAGAUGAAUAUUGGACUGUCAGAGAAAAAGUGUCUGCUGUAAGAUGGACUUUCAUCCUGGAAAAGAGGGUUCUUCUGGAAAGCGACUGCGCUGAAGAAUGCCUGGGUCCUGUGUGGCGCGGACUGAUCGGACGGGGUGCUACGGCUUUUCGGUCCAAGAGGAGGGUGAUGAAUAAGGCUCGUGAGAUUGGACCUGCAACCCGUACCAACCCAUUUGCAAUUAUUAAUGAGUGA